GCCUGGGUGGCUCAGUCGGUUAAGCAUCCGACUUCAGCUCAGGUCACGAUCUCACAGUUUUGUGGGUUCAAGCCCCGCGUCGGGCU
rnacentral:tRNA from 1 species